CCGUGCUAGAUGGGGAGCUGGCGGUGCCCUGUAACUCGCAAUCCGCCUUAGCGAGGUUGAAUUCCUUUUAGCGGUAUGAUUCAUGUGAGGCUUGCCUUAUGCAAAUGGUGUUGACUAUUGGAGUCUGCGCAACAGAAGUCUAUGAAACUGGUCAGGUCCGGAAGGGAGCAGCCAUAAGUAGAUGACUCUGUGUGCCGCAGGUCGCUCUAAUUGAGCUAGUUGCACAAGUAACGCUCAUGUGAAUCUUAUCUAUAAAAGGUGCACGG
rnacentral:SRP_RNA from 1 species